rnacentral:tRNA from 1 species
GGAGAGGUCGCAUAGAGGCCUAGUGCGCUCGCUUGGAAAGCGGGUAUACCGCAAGGUAUCGAGGGUUCGAAUCCCUCCCUCUCCGCAA